AUUUAGAAAAGGUCAAACCGGCUUUCAUCUCCUCUAGAUUCAACUAUUGCAACACCCUUAACUCUGGUAUCAGCACAUCCCAACACUGCAACUUAUACAAAACUCUGCUGCCACUCUAAGAGAAGCAACAACAUCACACCAAUCCUUGCUGCCCUUCACUGGUUACCUCCUAACGUUGUUUUGGAGAGGACCUCUGGGACAGCCCAGGCAGCCAUAUUUCAACCCGAAAGCGAUGUGGGUCUUUGUGCAGUGACAGCGAACGGCAGGCAGUGUGUGUGUCUUUCUAUGUACAAUGUCUGUCCUUAACUGUUCUUUGCCUUGCUCUGUAAGCUACCUGUUUAUCUUUUACACUGUCUGUCUCGCUGUACCUGUCUGUCUUCUACAGUUUGUCUUACUGUUUCUGUCUUUCUCUGCCUGUCCUUAACUGUUUGUACCUCUCUGUGCCUGUGUGUGUAUCUGUACCUAUCUUUCCUAUAGUUUCAGUCUGUCCUUACCUGUGUUACAGUUUCUGUCUUUCUUUGCACCUGAUAUGUACCUGUCUCUCUGGACAGCUUUACUCUUUCUGUUUUUCUGUCUUCCUUUCCCACAUGAUUUUCUCCUUCACUUUCCAUCUAUUAUGACUACCGCUAUCUGCAGUUGCCUUUCUCUCUGUCCAUCUGCCAGUCUUCCUCUUAAUCCUGGCAGUAUCUCUCUGUUUCUUGUGUUUAACAGACACGGGGUAAGGCCAGAACAAACCAUAUUCGAUAUGAGCUGCAGUU